AACGAACGCUGGCGGCAUGCCUAACACAUGCAAGUCGAACGAGACCUUCGGGUCUAGUGGCGCACGGGUGCGUAACGCGUGGGAACCUGCCCUUAGGUUCGGAAUAACUCCCCGACAGGGGUGCUAAUACCGGAUAAUGUCUUCGGCCCAAAGAUUUAUCGCCUUUGGAUGGGCCCGCGUUGGAUUAGCUAGUUGGUAGGGUAAAAGCCUACCAAGGCGACGAUCCAUAGCUGGUCUGAGAGGAUGAUCAGCCACACUGGGACUGAGACACGGCCCAGACUCCUACGGGAGGAAGCAGUGGGGAAUAUUGGACAAUGGGCGAAAGCCUGAUCCAGCAAUGCCGCGUGAGUGAUGAAGGCCUUAGGGUUGUAAAGCUCUUUUACCCGGGAUGAUAAUGACAGUACCGGGAGAAUAAGCUCCGGCUAACUCCGUG
rnacentral:rRNA from 1 species